AAACUAGGGGAUAGAUAACCUAUUAGUUUUAAUAAAAAUUUAGUAGUAAGUGAAGAACAUGAAACUAAAAUUAAUUGGCGGCUUUUUAAAUUUUUUAGAGGAAUUUAUGCUGUAAAGGAAUCAACACCAAAAUCUUACUUUUGCUGGCAAUCAACUUAUAUAUCGCUAUAUAUAAAUACAUAAAUGUAUUUUUUACUCUUAAUAAAAACAAAAUUUUAGGUAAAGAUGUAGUUUAUGCAAAAGAUUGAAAUAAAUUAUAUAAAUUAAUAUUUAACAAAUGCUAAAUGUAAAUAUAGUAUAAGUAAAAUUUAAAAGUAAACUAACUGUUAUUAUUUAGUUGAAUAAUAAUUUAGAUGUGUACAUAUCGCCCGUCACUCUCUAUCAGAGAUAAGUCGUAAACAUAGU
rnacentral:rRNA from 1 species